rnacentral:rRNA from 1 species
AUUGAACGCUGGCGGCAUGCCUAACACAUGCAAGUCGAACGGCAGCACAGCAGUAGCAAUACUGUGGGUGGCGAGUGGCGGACGGGUGAGGAAUACGUCGGAAUCUGCCCAGUCGUGGGGGAUAACUAGCCGAAAGGUUAGCUAAUACCGCAUACGACCGAGAGGUGAAAGCGGGGGACCGCAAGGCCUCACGCGAUUGGAUGAGCCGACGUCGGAUUAGCUAGUUGGCGGGUAAAGGCCCACCAAGGCGACGAUCCGUAGCUGGUCUGAGAGGAUGAUCAGCCACACUGGAACUGAGACACGGUCCAGACUCCUACGGGAGGCAGCAGUGGGAAUAUUGGACAAUGGGCGCAAGCCUGAUCCAGCAAUGCCGCGUGUGUGAAGAAAGGCCUUCGGGUUGGUUAAAGACGACUUUAUACU